rnacentral:lncRNA from 1 species
UUAGUCUUCCCUGAGCAGUGGUUUGGUGAUUUUACCUUCACAACAGUUUGUGUUCAUCCCCGGAAUGGUUGGUGGAUUUUCAUCCCCGGUAGAGCUGAUGAUUUGUUCCCUUUAUAAUUCAUCUUUCCUCAGUUGAGAUGUUCAUGUUUUCGCAUUUUUUCCAGUUUGUGUUGGUGGAUGAACCUUGGAUUAUUUUGGAACCUUUAUUUGGUCUCCAAAUCCCUGACAUGUCUAUUUGUGUGUUG